rnacentral:rRNA from 1 species
UUGCCUACGAGUUGAAAUAUAUUGGCUAAGCAUUCUUUAGUAUUUUACAACGUAUUAGGUUUUACCAACUCGUUGGGCAAGUAUUUUGGAAAAAACGCUGGGCGAUAGAACAGAACUUUUAAAAUUUGACCUCAAAUCAGGCAGGAAUACCCGCUGAACUUAAGCAUAUCAAUAAGCGGAGGAAAAGAAACCAACAGGGAUUGCCUUAGUAACGGCGAGUGAAGCGGCAAAAGCUCAAAUUUGAAAUCUGGCACCUUUGGUGUCCGAGUUGUAAUUUGAAGAAGGUAACUUUGAGUUUGGUCCUUGCAUAUGUUCCUUGGAACAGGACGUCAUAGAGGGUGAGAAUCCCGUUCUGUGAGGUGGCCAUUCUCUUGUAAAGUGCUUUCGAAGAGUCGAGUUGUUUGGGAAUGCAGCUCUAAGUGGGUGGUAAAUUCCAUCUAAAGCUAAAUAUUGGCGAGAGACCGAUAGCGAACAAGUACAGUGAUGGAAAGAUGAAAAGAACUUUGAAAAGAGAGUGAAAAAGUACGUGAAAUUGUUGAAAGGGAAGGGCUUGAAAUCAGACUUGGUAUUCAGUGAUCAACUAUCUUUCGGGAUUGUGCACUCGCUGUUUACUGGGCCAGUAUCGGUUUUGACGGUGAGAUAAUGGUGUUGGAAUGUGGCUCUUCGGAGUGUUAUAGCCUUCAUUGAUAUCACCAGUUGGGACCGAGGACCGCGCUUUAUAGCUAGGAUACUGGCGUAAUG